GAGUUUGAUCCUGGCUCAGAUUGAACGCUGGCGGCAUGCCUAACACAUGCAAGUCGAACGGUAACGCGGGGGCAACCCUGGCGACGAGUGGCGGACGGGUGAGUAAUACGUAGGAAUCUGCCCAUUUGUGGGGGAUAACCCGGCGAAAGCCGGGCUAAUACCGCAUACGCUCUACGGAGGAAAGCGGGGGAUCGUAAGACCUCGCGCUAAUGGAUGAGCCUACGUCGGAUUAGCUAGUUGGUAGGGUAACGGCCUACCAAGGCGACGAUCCGUAGCUGGUCUGAGAGGACGAUCAGCCACACUGGGACUGAGACACGGCCCAGACUCCUACGGGAGGCAGCAGUGGGGAAUAUUGGACAAUGGGGGCAACCCUGAUCCAGCAAUGCCGCGUGUGUGAAGAAGGCCUGCGGGUUGUAAAGCACUUUCAGAGGGGAAGAAAAAUCGGAUCUAACACAUCCGAUCUUGACGUUACCCCUUAGAAGAAGCACCGGCUAACUCCGUGCCAGCCGCCGCCGU
rnacentral:rRNA from 1 species